UACGUAGGGACCAAGCGUUGUUCGGAUUUACUGGGCGUAAAGGGCGCGUAGGCGGCGUGACAAGUCACUUGUGAAAUCUCUGGGCUUAACCCAGAACGGCCAAGUGAAACUGUUGUGCUAGAGUGCAGAAGGGGCAAUCGGAAUUCUCGGUGUAGCGGUGAAAUGCGCAGAUAUCAGGAGGAACACCGGUGGCGAAGGCGGGAUCCUGGGCCAGUACUGACGCUGAGGAGCGAAAGCGUGGGGAGCAAACAGG
rnacentral:rRNA from 1 species